ACAUUAAUUUCAACACCCAUGCGGACCAAUGGGCAAUCCGCUUUACAGAGUCCAAUAAAAGGCAGAGCACUUUAGCGCGCCAAAUACAAAACGGAAAACGCUCGAACUCUUGUUGCGUGUUUCUCCCUUCAUGCAGAGGGGGUAGUUUGUGCUACAGAGCGUGCACUCGUGCAGAGUUCAGCGUUUUAAGCGGGAAAACAUUUGUCCGUAAAAGUCACUGUUCUCUAGAUUUUUGCGAACGCAAUUUAAGUGUAUAUAGUGAAGCUGUUAAAAAAUCAGCAAUUAUUAUUGCUUUAAUUUUCUCGCUGCUAUCAAUGUAUUAGUUCACUGUUCAAUAGUUAAUUGAAAAAUGGAAAGUCCACCAACUUGUAAUGCAUGUCACAAGACAUUUAGCAGCGUUUCGACAAAAAACCGGCACAUGAAGACAAUGCACAAUAUAAUGAUCGAAGAAAAAAAAUCGAAACACAUUCGUUGCCCUUUAUGCCCCGUAGAACAGGAAACUCUAGUAAACCAGGAAAUGCUAAUUAAUCAUUUAACAGAAAUACACGAAGUAAGUAUUAAACAAUUUGACUUGAGUUUUAGAAAUAUGGAAGAAUUUCAAUUGUGGAGAUCGAAGGAAAAUAGAGAAGUAGAUUAUGCAUGUGCUAGAAGUAAAAAAACGUCAAAUGGUGACCAAUUAAUCUAUUACAAUUGUAACCGAAGUGACUCUUAUGGCUUCCAUAGUAGAUGUACGAAGAGGGGAAUGAAGACUGGAGGCACUAUUCGAAUUUCAGGAAUAUGUCCAUUAAGGAUAGUCGUUAGAAUCUGUGGAAAUGGUAUGGUGAAUGUAAAAUUUGUUGAAACACAUGUUGGACAGCAAAAUGAAUUAAGAACAAAAAGGUUAACGAAAGAAGAUCAAAUGAUAUUAGUGGAACAGUUGCAUGCAGGAGUAACAAAUGAAAGAAUACUACAGGAUGCACGAAAAAUCAAUGAAAACCAAUUGGAACGAAAAAAUUUAAUAAGAAGAGGGGAUUUAGAAUAUUUGAUAAGGAAAUUUAAUGUGAAUAAAAGACGAAAUGCAGAUGACACGGUGGCUACAGCUUUGAAGAUUGAAGAGUGGAAUGAAGAUGGGAAAAAUUAUGCAUUUUUAUUUAAGAGAAAAGGUGAAAGUCACCCUGACCUAUUAGAUACAGAUUUUGCAGUUGGAUAUAUGAAUGAGAUAAUGGAGAAGAAAUUGAAAGAUUUUAAACGAAUAAUUUGUAUUGAUGGAACACAUGGAACCAACAGAAUGAAUUAUGAGUUAACAACAAUUCUAAUAAAAGAUGAAGAUAAUAUGGGUUUCCCAGUGGCCUUUUUAGUUUCUAAUAGAUUGGAUACAUUAAUUCAGAAAGUUUUUUUUGCAGCGUUAAAGGAAAAAUUAGGUCACAUUAUUGAAGCUGAAUAUGUGAUGAGUGAUGAUGAUCCAAAAUAUUAUAAUGCAUGGAUUGACAUAAUGAAGACUGAAAGAAAACCACGACGACUACUAUGUAGUUGGCAUGUUAUUAAUAAUUGGAACAUUCAAAGACGAUCAAAGUUAAAGAAACAAGAAAAUAGACUCAAAAUGAAAAAAGAGAUGCGAAACAUUUUAAAAGAGACCAAAGUCGAAAAGUUUAUAGAACUCAAGGAAAAUUAUUUCAACCAUCUAAUGGAGGAAAAUGAAUUUUCUUUUUUAAAUUAUUUAAAAAAGUAUAAUUUUUAUACCAUUUCAAAUAGGAAAAGGGUAAUGAAGAUAGGAUCAUGAUGUGGGCUCACUGUUUUAGGAUUAAUGUUGGAAUUAACACGAAUAUGGCCAUAGAAUCCCUAAAUAAAGUAUUGAAACAUAAUAAAAUGAAGGGGAACCGUAAUAUCAGAAUUGAAAAAUUAUUAGACAUGUUAGAAGAACUAGUAAACGAAAAAAUGUGGAAAAAAAUUUUGAACACUGAAAGACCAAAUGCCAAUAAUUAUCAACAUAAAGUAACAGCAGAAGCACAUAAGAAGGCGGAAAAUAUGACAAAUUGUGUAGAAACAAUUGAGUUUGGUAAGUUCAGGGUAAAAUCAUCAACAGGUAAACAUUUUUAAUGCGUGUCUUAUAAUUUAAUUUGUGAUAAAGAUUGUCGAAGUAUGUAUUGCAAUGAAUGUAAAGCAGGGUUUGUAAAACU